rnacentral:rRNA from 1 species
UGAUGGGGGACACUGUUGGGACCGCCUCUGCUAAAGAGGAGGAAGGAAUGGGCAACGGUAGGUCAGCAUGCCCCGAAUUAUCCGGGCUACACGCGGGCGUACAAUGGUCAGGGACAAUGGGUAUCGACACCGAGAGGUGGAGGCAAUCUCCUAAACCUGUCCUUAGUUCGGAUUGGUGGGCUGCAACUCCGCCCACAUGAAGCUGGAAUCCGUAGUAAUCGUGUCUCAAAAUGGCACGGUGAAUAUGUCCCUGCUCCUU